rnacentral:tRNA from 1 species
GCCGCAGUAGCUCAAUGGGAGAGCGCCGCCCUGAAGAGGCGGAUGUUGCUGGUUCAAAUCCGGCCUGCGGCA